UCUACGCACUUGGUGUCCUGGUGCCAGGCCAGCGUUUGUCCAGCCGUGGUCGCGGCCCGAGGCAUCUGGCUGCAGGUUGCAGGGCCUCAGCGGUCAGAGUGUGCACCCCUGGCAGGGCUCAGGGCUCUCAGGUUGUUUCUGGAAGGGGCCAGGAUGGGGCAUGCCUGGAGCUGCCAAGGCUGGGGCCUCUGGGAAGGUGGCUGCUUGCAUCUUAACAGGAGCCUCUGGGGCCUGGGGCUGGGGCAGGGCCAGUCCCUGGCGGUGACUGCUUUUCUCCGUGAAGGCAAAGGGCCUCUGAAGGCUCACUACGGCCGCCUCAUCUGCCAGAAGUGCUUCCAGCACAUCCAGGCCUGCACCCCCUGGCUGGAGGCCGAGGACUACCCCCUGCUGCUAGGGUUGGCGGACCUGGGCGUCUGUCUGUACAAAUCCCCAGUGGCCUGGACCUGCCCAUGAAGAUGCUUUUCUCAGUUUCCUGAUCCCGCUGGCAAACUCAGCCCGUUCCGGAAGAACCUCUGGGAGUCAGAGCAGCUUCGGUGGGAUGAGAGCUGGACGGGGACCGUGCUCCCUUUGCUUAUGGACACGUGACCCCUGGGGCCAGAGACUACAACCCAGGAUUCCCAGCCCCUUCUCCCCGCACAACCGAGUCCCAGGGCAAACUCUCCCGAGCAGCGCCUCCUGGUGGUCAGAGGCCGAAACGUGAAUAAAGCUCUAACAGCCAAGAGUUGUGUCAGGGAAGCUGUGGUCCCUCCUGGCUUCCUGGGGGCUCCAAGGCAGGUCCUCUUUUUCCCUCCUGUUCUGUGCUCCUCUCCCGAGUGUUACGUUUCUCUUACUCGCUGGGACUGUGAGCAUCUCUCCGCUCUGUGCUGUCCUCCCCAGCGCCUGCCCUUCCCUGCCCUGCCUCUGUCGUGUUCCUGCCCUGGAGACGGCACCUGCAGCGCUGUAGGUGCAGUGAGGUGUGUCGGGCCUACGCUGGGCUCGGCUUCGUGAGGAACUCAGGGUCCAGUGUCCAGUGUCCAGGCUGGGGAACGUCAUACUUGACAUGCAUGUUAUCUGCAAAAAGGAAAUGCUUGCCUUUGAGCCAAAAUUUUCAUUUCUGAUUUAUGGUGACUUUCUUAAGAACCAGAACUACUGACAGAAUGGGGCACCCCCACACAUAAACAGUUUAUAUUUUA